UACGGAGGGUGCAAGCGUUAUCCGGAUUCACUGGGUUUAAAGGGUGCGUAGGUGGGCAGGUAAGUCAGUGGUGGAAUCUCCGGGCUUAACCCGGAAACUGCCGUUGAUACUAUCUGUCUUGAAUAUCGUGGAGAUGAGCGGAAUAUGUCAUGUAGCGGUGAAAUGCUUAGAUAUGACAUAGAACGCCGAUUGCGAAGGCAGCUCGUUACACGGUUAUUGACACUGAGGCGCGAAAGCGUGGGUAGCAAACAGG
rnacentral:rRNA from 1 species